rnacentral:rRNA from 1 species
CACGUAGGGUGCGAGCGUGGUCCGGAAUUAUUGGGCGUAAAGAGCUCGUAGGCGGUGUGUCGCGUCGGCCGUGAAAACCUGCAGCUUAACUGUGGGCGUGCGGUCGAUACGGGCAUCACUGGAGUUCGGCAGGGGAGACUGGAAUUCCUGGUGUAGCGGUGAAAUGCGCAGAUAUCAGGAGGAACACCGGUGGCGAAGGCGGGUCUCUGGGCCGAUACUGACGCUGAGGAGCGAAAGCGUGGGGAGCAAACAGG